rnacentral:rRNA from 1 species
GAUGAACGCUGGCGGCGUGCCUAAUACAUGCAAGUCGAGCGAACAGAUGAGGAGCUUGCUCCUCUGACGUUAGCGGCGGACGGGUGAGUAACACGUGGAUAACCUACCUAUAAGACUGGGAUAACUUCGGGAAACCGGAGCUAAUACCGGAUAAUAUAUUGAACCGCAUGGUUCAAUAGUGAAAGACGGUUUUGCUGUCACUUAUAGAUGGAUCCGCGCCGCAUUAGCUAGUUGGUAAGGUAACGGCUUACCAAGGCAACGAUGCGUAGCCGACCUGAGAGGGUGUCCGCCCACACUGGAACUGAGACCCGGUCCAGACUCCUACGGGAGGAAGCAGUAGGGAAUCUUCCGCAAUGGGCGAAAGCUUGACGGAGCAACGCCGCGUGAGUGAUGAAGGUCUUCGGAUCGUAAAACUCUGUUAUUAGGGAAGAACAAAUGUGUAAGUAACUAUGCACGUCUUGACGGUACCUAAUCAGAAAGCCACGGCUAACUACGUG